rnacentral:tRNA from 2 species
GCCCGAGUGGUGGAAUUGGUAGACACGUUGGAUUCAAAAUCCAAUUUCUUCGGAAGUGACGGUUCAAGUCCGUCCUCGGGUACCA